rnacentral:rRNA from 1 species
UACGGAGGGUGCAAGCGUUAUCCGGAUUCACUGGGUUAAAGGGUAGCGUAGGUGGGCAGGUAAGUCCGUGGUGAAAUCUCUGAGCUUAACUCAGAACUGCCGUGGAUACUAUUGUCUUGAAUAUUGUGGAGGUGAGGCGGAAUAUGUCAUGGUAGCGGAUGAAAUGCUUAGAUAUGACAUAGAACACCAAAUUGCGAAGGCAGCUCACUACACAAUUAUUGACGCUGAGGCACGAAAGCGUGGGGAUCAAACAGG